AUGGAUCUUAUGGUGGAUCUUAAGUCCCUGGGUGAUCCCAUCAAGCAGUUCAGCGACUAUGUGUCAGGGACGGGGACCAAACCGGACAACAAAAUAGGCACCAAAAAGAGCACAGGGGCCAGACGGAAGAGCGUAGUCGUGAGCACCGGGGCCAGACGGAAGAGUGUAGUUGUAGUCCGGAGGCACAGCAUAGUCAGGAGGAAGAGUGUCCCUUGCGCCAAAACUUGCACCAAGCAGAGAGCCGUACCAGACUCCUGGCUCAGUGCAUACCAGGCUGACAUUCAGAGAGAACGGAAACUGAGAGAGAAGAAGAUUGCAGAAAGGUCCAUCAGAAGGAGGAGUCAGCAUUUCAGGAGCCAGCACUGCCUCCCAAAGAGUAAGACAAAUGCCAAGAGGAACCAGAAAUCUGUGAAGGAUGAUUCGCUGUUUGGUGCCUUCCAGGGGCUCAGUCUGAACGUGACGGGAGGUGCCCAGAGAGUAAGACAAAUGCCAAGAGGAACCAGAAAUCUGUGA
rnacentral:lncRNA from 13 species